UACGGAGGGAGCUAGCGUUGUUCGGAAUUACUGGGCGUAAAGCGCACGUAGGCGGCUUUGUAAGUUAGAGGUGAAAGCCCGGAGCUCAACUCCGGAAUUGCCUUUAAGACUGCAUCGCUUGAAUCCAGGAGAGGUGAGUGGAAUUCCGAGUGUAGAGGUGAAAUUCGUAGAUAUUCGCAAGAACACCAGUGGCGAAGGCGGCUCACCUGGCCCGAUGC
rnacentral:rRNA from 1 species